AUUUGUAAUGUAAUUUAAUAAGAACAAAGCAUAGAAUAACCAUGCCUGGCGGUGGAGUUGGAGAAGGAGCACCAAGAAGAACCACAUUU
rnacentral:ribozyme from 1 species